rnacentral:lncRNA from 1 species
CUCACAAUCCCCUUUAAUCCUAGCCCUUCUUUUCUCUCUUUAAAUCUCCACCAUUGAAUUCAAAAUAGCUUCUAGAAGGUUGUGGUCCUCUUUUGUCUUCUAGAAGGUUGUGGUCCAACUUUGACCAAGACCAAGUUUGAAUUUGAGUCUCCUUCCUUUGUCUCCAACGGCUCCAUGAGAGACUUUGUGCUUCUUAGGUCUUCUAGAAGGUCUCUCAUGGGCUUCUCUUAUGUGACACCAAUCUUGCACAUUAUUAUCUUCACUAGGUGACACGAGUUUUGCACAUUCUUGUAUUCAUGGAUAGACUUCAU